AGGAAGCAAAGAUCUUUAUUUUCACUGAUCGGGUCUCAGCUGAACUCAUGUCCAAAAUGUCUGAGCACUGAGCACAUGCAUUUUAUAGACUAUACAUCCCCCAUCAGUACCCUUACACCAAUCAACAAACAGGAUUACCUAAUAUGGACAGGCAGUAUGGAGAGAAUGGAAUGUGGUUUCAGUUCUUGCACAUGCUCAGUACAUUGAUGACAGUUUCCUGACUACAUGUAACUAACAGAUACAUGUGCUGCUAUAUGCCAUGUGGAGAUUUUAAGCCUACUAAAUUUUGGGCUUAGCUGAGAUCCCCUCAAAUUCCCCCCUUUGAUGCUGCUGAAACUAUGUAUUCCAGAUGCAUCCCUUACCAUACUUUGCCAAUACCACUCAGUUAAAAUAGAACAGGAGAAACUAUAGAAGCUUUUUAAACUUAACAAUAGAAGUUCCUAUGUAAACUUAUUAAAGCUCAGCUACCCGGUUACAGGUUACUUCUCUCUGAGAUAGAGGUUCAUAUCUCCAGAGGGCCAUUACGUGGGCUGCCGUCUUUCUCUCAAUAGUACUCUUGAUAACACUACGUACAGACUGUAUUAUUAAAGGAAUCAAGCAGGGUAGUAAGAGACAUAAGAUAAUGAUAACUACCACUCCUCCUACCAGUGCCUUUAACCCUCCAAACUGUUCAUACCAGCUUCCGAACCAACUAACUGGAUUAUACCCGUUCCAGAUCUGAGUAGGUACGUGCAUACACCUUGAGUCCUCAAGUCUCUCCUGUUUGAAUUGGUAACAAAAAGAAAGUGGGGCAUGUCUAUUAAACAGUGAGCAGUCUGUGGGUGGGUGCCCUAAAUAAAAAAAAUUAACCCCCCCUCCCCCAGGUGACUAGG